CUCCGUGCGGCUGAGAGAGCACUCAAAGGCGCCUGCUGGCUUUGUAUGCUCAGUGCCAUGGAGAAGAAAAUCGAUGUGGGAACUGCAGAUGGCUUCAGUGUUUCAGGACAAUCCAGGCUGCCUUCCGUAUUUCUGACACUAAGAAUGGAGAGAAAGAGUUAAGAAGAUGUGGUCUCACAAUGAGGUUGGAUUCUGCUCUGAGUUCCCCAUCCAGCUGGUCUCUAAGGCAUUCAUCACCGUGGUUUGGGAGCACCACUGAAGGAAACAGGAGCGCUGCAUGCAGCAUAGCUGCAGAAUCCAACCCCUAUUUGACAAUGAUCAAGUCUGACAUUGACAAGCACUUAUACCCCAUUCUCUGGCUCUUUUUUUUUUUUUUUUUUUUUGGCCUCGGAUACACGUGUUGUCUGGCAAAAUUUAAAAA